UACGAAGGGGGCUAGCGUUGUUCGGAAUUACUGGGCGUAAAGCGCACGUAGGCGGAUUGUUAAGUCAGACGUGAAAUCCCUCGGCUUAACCGGGGAACUGCGUCUGAUACUGGAUGGCUUGAGUUCGGGAGAGGGAUGCGGAAUUCCAGGUGUAGCGGUGAAAUGCGUAGAUAUCUGGAGGAACACCGGUGGCGAAGGCGGCAUCCUGGACCGAUACUGACGCUGAGGAGCGAAAGCCAGGGGAGCAAACGGG
rnacentral:rRNA from 1 species